AGUGAACGCUGGCGGUAGGCCUAACACAUGCAAGUCGAACGGCAGCACAGUAAGAGCUUGCUCUUACGGGUGGCGAGUGGCGGACGGGUGAGGAAUACAUCGGAAUCUACUUUUUCGUGGGUGAUAACGUAGGGAAACUUACGCUAAUACCGCAUACGACCUACGGGUGAAAGCAGGGGAUCUUCGGACCUUGCGCGAUUGAAUGAGCCGAUGUCGGAUUAGCUAGUUGGCGGGGUAAAGGCCCACCAAGGCGACGAUCCGUAGCUGGUCUGAGAGGAUGAUCAGCCACACUGGAACUGAGACACGGUCCAGACUCCUACGGGAGGCAGCAGUGGGGAAUAUUGGACAAUGGGCGCAAGCCUGAUCCAGCCACACCGCGUGAGUGAAGAAGGCCUUCGGGUUGUAAAGCCCUUUUGUUGGGAAAGAAAAGAAGCAGGUUAAUACCCCGCUGUUCUGACGGUACCCAAAGAAUAAGCACCGGCUAACUUCGUG
rnacentral:rRNA from 1 species